GGAGCAGGCGGCACUAAGGGUCUGUGGUGAAAGAUCGAAGCUUAACUUCGGUAAGCCAUGGAAACCGUAGAGCUAGAGUGUGUGAGAGGAUCGUGGAAUUCCAUGUGUAGCGGUGAAAUGCGUAGAUAUAUGGAGGAACACCAGUGGCGAAGGCGACGAUCUGGCGCAUAACUGACGCUCAGUCCGAAAGCGUGGGGAGCAAAUA
rnacentral:rRNA from 1 species